CCCCGAAAAGGGCAAACCGGCCGAAAGGCCGGGGAGCAAAGCUAGAGGGUCUAAGGCCGUCUGGGGAGGGCUAUGACAGCCAGCUGCCGUG
rnacentral:ncRNA from 1 species